rnacentral:rRNA from 1 species
CGAACGCUGGCGGCGUGCUUAACACAUGCAAGUCGACCGGAAAGGCCCUGCUUUUGUGGGGUGCUCGAGUGGCGAACGGGUGAGUAACACGUGAGUAACCUGCCCUUGACUUUGGGAUAACUUCAGGAAACUGGGGCUAAUACCGGAUAGGAGCUCCUGCUGCAUGGUGGGGGUUGGAAAGUUUCGGCGGUUGGGGAUGGACUCGCGGCUUAUCAGCUUGUGGUGGGGUAGUGGCUUACCAAGGCUUUGACGGGUAGCCGGCCUGAGAGGGUGACCGGCCACAUUGGGACUGAGAUACGGCCCAGACUCCUACGGGAGGCAGCAGUGGGGAAUAUUGCACAAUGGGCGGAAGCCUGAUGCAGCAACGCCGCGUGCGGGAUGACGGCCUUCGGGUUGUAAACCGCUUUCGCCUGUGACGAAGCGUGAGUGACGGUAAUGGGUAAAGAAGCACCGGCUAACUACGUG